rnacentral:rRNA from 1 species
GAUGAACGCUGGCGGCGUGCCUAAUACAUGCAAGUCGAGCGAACAGACGAGGAGCUUGCUCCUCUGAUGUUAGCGGCGGACGGGUGAGUAACACGUGGAUAACCUACCUAUAAGACUGGGAUAACUUCGGGAAACCGGAGCUAAUACCGGAUAACAUGUUGAACCGCAUGGUUCAACAGUGAAAGACGGUCUUGCUGUCACUUAUAGAUGGAUCCGCGCCGCAUUAGCUAGUUGGUAAGGUAACGGCUUACCAAGGCAACGAUGCGUAGCCGACCUAAGAGGGUGAUCGGCCACACUGGAACUGAGACACGGUCCAGACUCCUACGGGAGGCAGCAGUAGGGAAUCUUCCGCAAUGGGCGAAAGCCUGACGGAGCAACGCCGCGUGAGUGAAGAAGGUCUUCGGAUCGUAAAACUCUGUUAUUAGGGAAGAACAAAUGUGUAAGUAACUAUGCACGUCUUGACGGUACCUAAUCAGAAAGCCACGGCUAACUACGUG